rnacentral:rRNA from 1 species
CGUCUAUAUACGUAUAGCAUAUCAAUAAGCGGAGGAAAAGAAACUAACUAGGAUUCCCUCAGUAACGGCGAGUGAAGCGGGAAGAGCUCAAAUUUGAAAUCUUCAAGGUUCUACCUUGACGAAUUGUAGUUUAAAGAAGUGUUUUCUGUUGAAGUUUUGGUAAAAGUUCUUUGGAAUAGGACAUCAUAGAGGGUGAGAAUCCCGUAUUUGACCAUUAUUUCCAACUUUGUGAUACACUUUCAAAGAGUCGGAUUGUUUGGGAAUGCAGUCCAAAAUGGGUGGUAAAUUUCAUCUAAAGCUAAAUACUGGCGAGAGACCGAUAGCGAACAAGUACCGUGAGGGAAAGAUGAAAAGAACUUUGAAAAGAGAGUUAAACAGUACGUGAAAUUGUCAAAAGGGAGGCGUUUGACACCAGUGUUGUUUUUCCGAAAAUCAAUUACGAAUGUUUUAUUUUUGAGGAGUUAUGACUUCAUCGGCUUGCUCCUUUCUUUAUGAAACUUUCUUAAUGCACUUUUCGGUUAACAAGUCAACAUCAAUUUCUUUUGUUGUAAAAGGGUAUGAGGAAGGUGGCUUUCUUUUCGGAGAAAGUGUUUAUAGCCUUGUGCCUCUGCAAUCGGAGAGAUUGAGGUCUGCAGCGUAGAUCCUUCGGGGUUAGAUACGUUUGUGCUAAGUUAUAGCUUUUCAUAGACAACUUGUUGACUAUGAUUAGUCAUUGUAGCUUACUCGCUUACUGCUAUUUUACCUACGCUUAGGAUGUUGAUAUGCAUGACUGAUAU